GACGAACGCUGGCGGCGUGCUUAACACAUGCAAGUCGAACGGAAAGGCCCUGCUUUUGUGGGGUGCUCGAGUGGCGAACGGGUGAGUAACACGUGAGUAACCUGCCCUUGACUUUGGGAUAACUUCAGGAAACUGGGGCUAAUACCGGAUAGGAGCUCCUGCUGCAUGGUGGGGGUUGGAAAGUUUCGGCGGUUGGGGCUGUACUCGCGGCUUAUCCGCUUGUUGGUGGGGUAGUGGCUUACCAAGGCUUUGACGGGUAGCCGGCCUGAGAGGGUGGCCGGCCUCCUUGGGCCUGCGAGACGGCCCAGACUCCUACGGGAGGCAGCGGUGGGGAAUAUUGCACAGUGGGCGGGAGCCUGAUGCAGCAACGCCGCGUGCGGGAUGACCGCCUUCGGGUUGUAAACCGCUUUCGCCUGUGACGAAGCGUGAGUGACGGUAAUGGGUAAAAAAGCACCGGCUAACUACGUG
rnacentral:rRNA from 1 species